CCAAAAACGGUAAUUCCUCUAAAGACAUUUGUUCCUGUGCCACCUUUACGUAUUGCAAAACAUCAUGGCAUUUACAGAGUUUUCAGUUGCGAGACUUUAUAAUCUAAGAAAUUAGGAAUAUGUUACCAAUAUAUUAACGACUAUUAAAGUGCCAGCAGUCGCGGUCAUACUUUAGUUAUAAGUAAAAUCUAUUAGGGCAUGCAAAAGUAAUAAUAACACCUGUGGUGAAAUAUGGUCACAAUACACUUAUAUACUUUCAAUUAAAAUAAAUACUGGCAACAAACAGGGAUUAGAUACCCCUUUAUGCAGUAAGUAUAUCACGCCCAGGGCAUGACAAUUAACAGAUUGAAACCCAACGAACAUGGCGGUAGUUUAAAUAUUUAGGGGAACUUACUAAGUAAAUGAUAGCCACCAAGAAUAUGUACGUUAAGUAAAAUUUUACAUACCGUCGUCGUCAGAUCUACUUAGAUAGAAUAUCAACGUAUUAUUAAAAUAAAAAGACAGAUCAAGGUGUAGACUAUUUUAACGUUUAAGCGAGUUACAAUAUUUUAUUUUUCGUAACGCAGUUAUAUAACUGCUUGAAGGAGGACUUAAAAGUAAUAUUUAUGGGAAAUAGAAUAUGAAUACUCUUACCCUGC
rnacentral:rRNA from 1 species